UGCGGGGAUAUCGCUGUGUUUACUUCAGCAGCAGACGCCGUGUGGGGUGGAGGCAGUGGGAGGAGUUUCCGGAGUCUUUCGAGAUCUAAUUAUCCCUGAAGCUGCUCCUGACGGCACAUGACCAGUGAGGAGUCGUCCAGCCGAUGCCGCAGCAGGGGCCCCGUCUCUCCGCCACCAACAGGCACCCCAGGACGGACGACCAGAGGAUUAUUUAUUUUUAUUUUUGUUCUGUGCAAGAGAAGAAAACGGAGA